UGUUCCUACGGGACGCAGCAGUAGGGAAUCUUCCACAAUGGGCGAAAGCCUGAUGGAGCAACGCCGCGUGGGUGAAGAAGGUCUUCGGAUCGUAAAACCCUGUUGUUAGAGAAGAAAGUGCGUGAGAGGAACUGUUCACGUUUCGACGGUAUCUAACCAGAAAGCCACGGCUAACUACGUGCCAGCAGCCGCGGUAAUACGUAGGUGGCAAGCGUUAUCCGGAUUUAUUGUGCGUAAAGGGAGCGCAGGCGGUCUUUUAAGUCUGUGGUGAAAG
rnacentral:rRNA from 1 species